UUAUAAACCUUAUUGAAGUGUAAAGCCCACAGCGCAGCGAGGACUUGCAACGGAAAGAAGGGCUGAAA
rnacentral:sRNA from 1 species